rnacentral:rRNA from 1 species
AUUGAACGCUGGCGGCAUGCCUUACACAUGCAAGUCGAACGGCAGCACGGGAGCAAUCCUGGUGGCGAGUGGCGAACGGGUGAGUAAUAUAUCGGAACGUGCCCAGUCGUGGGGAUAACGUAGCGAAAGCUACGCUAAUACCGCAUACGAUCUAUGGAUGAAAGCGGGGGAUCGCAAGACCUCGCGCGAUUGGAGCGGCCGAUAUCAGAUUAGGUAGUUGGUGAGGUAAAGGCUCAACCAAGCCGACGAUCUGUAGCUGGUCUGAGAGACGACCAGCCACACUGGGACUGAGACACGGCCCAGACUCCUACGGGAGGCAGCAGUGGGGAAUUUUGGACAAUGGGCGCAAGCCUGAUCCAGCAAUGCCGCGUGCAGGAUGAAGGCC